GGAAAACGUGAGGAGAAGGGAGAGAGGCAGAAGCUGCCUCUUAGGGAGAGAGCUGGGAAAGAAAGACUCAGGCUGAAAGCGGGAGGAAGAUCUGCUUGCCUCAGUGGAUGGGGGAGGGAGACAGACCAUUACAAUAGCUCCUGGUCUUGGGUCACCCUUGAGGAUGUCAUGUCUUAGCUCUAUAAGCCAGGGACCAUCUGUUUCGUGAUCAAGUGGUGGACCCUGGAGGAGUUCACCCACAGGAGCAUCCCACCCACGGAGGGUCCUCCUGCAUAGGCUGCAAUGGUGGGAAAGGCGGAGAAGUGACUGGAGCAUCCCUUCCCACCUCCAAGCCUUCUCCAGGCAGCACACGUGUGACCUUACUAAACCUCUUCUCUGGAUGAGACCCACACAAUGAAGAGAACUGACUCCCCAAA